rnacentral:rRNA from 1 species
UACAGAGGGUGCGAGCGUUGUUCGGAAUUACUGGGCGUAAAGGGCGCGUAGGCGGCCUACUAAGUCGGACGUGAAAUCCCUCGGCUCAACCGGGGAACUGCGUCCGAUACUGGUGGGCUCGAAUCCGGGAGAGGGAUGUGGAAUUCCAGGUGUAGCGGUGAAAUGCGUAGAUAUCGGAAGGAACACCAGUUGCGAAGGCGGCUCUCGUGGACCAGCACUGACACUGAGGCACGAAAGCGUGGGGAGCAAACAGG